rnacentral:rRNA from 1 species
AACGAACGCUGGCGGCAGGCUAAACACAUGCAAGUCGAGCGCCCCGCAAGGGGAGCGGCAGACGGGUGAGUAACGCGUGGGAAUCUACCCAUCUCUACGGAAUAACGCAUGGAAACGUGUGCUAAUACCGUAUACGUCCUUCGGGAGAAAGAUUUAUCGGAGAUGGAUGAGCCCGCGUUGGAUUAGCUAGUUGGUGGGGUAAAGGCCUACCAAGGCGACGAUCCAUAGCUGGUCUGAGAGGAUGAUCAGCCACACUGGGACUGAGACACGGCCCAGACUCCUCCGGGAGGCAGCAGUGGGGAAUAUUGGACAAUGGGCGCAAGCCUGAUCCAGCCAUGCCGCGUGAGUGAUGAAGGCCCUAGGGUUGUAAAGCUCUUUCACCGGUGAAGAUAAUGACGGUAACCGGAGAAGAAGCCCCGGCUAACUUCGUGCCAGCCGCCGCGGUAACAC